AACUUUCAACAACGGAUCUCUUGGUUCUGGCAUCGAUGAAGAACGCAGCGAAAUGCGAUAAGUAAUGUGAAUUGCAGAAUUCAGUGAAUCAUCGAAUCUUUGAACGCACAUUGCGCCCCUUGGUAUUCCGGGGGGCAUGCCUGUUCGAGCGUC
rnacentral:rRNA from 4 species